AGAACUGCCGCUGCCCGUGUGCAUGUGCCACAACUUGUUUUAUAAUCUAUUCCGUACUUCGUCUCGACCAUCCCACUUCGGGCAGAUGUUCCACGUCAAUUCGUAAAUAACCGAACGAGUCAAAUAAGCAAAUAUGGUACAUGCCCGCAGCAAAAUCCUUAAAAAUAUGUUUAUAUAUUUCAUAGAAGUGGUUAGAAUUUAAUUAAAUAAAUAUUAAAAGCUAACACUGUGUGGGUAUAUAUUUCAAAUUAGUUAAGAAUUGUAUUGCAAACUUGUUAAUCUAAAAUUGUUGUAAGAUUUAUGAGGGUGGAACGGGUUGGGUGUGAAAAUAAUGCGAUCGAAUCUGAUGAUACUGAUUAUGCAGGAGUCUCGGGGACCUUGAUUGGAACACCUCCAAGUAAUUUUAGCUGCCGGAAAUGCGUCAAAGUAUUUUAAAAAAAAAUUUAAAGUUUUGUGAAAUGUAUUGAAAUUUGUAAACAAUCCACCAUUAUCUACUUUUCUAUUGGUUAUAAUAGAUGUGUCAUUCUCGUUUUCUGUUGGUUAUAAGUGAUGUGACAUUCUCGGUAAAUUAAUCGGAUCGAUUAUUUUCUCAUUUGUUAAUUUUAUAGUUGAACCUAAUUUAAUCAUUACUUGUCAAAUGUACAUACAUUACAUUAACUUCAUGUUUCAAUUAGUGUAUGGUUCCGAAAAUUUUGAAAUUAUUCAAAAAGUACCCAAAACCGAAUCAGAGCACCCCACUAUUCACGUGGUCUUGUCUGCCUUACCCCUAGAGUGUAUAUAAAUAAUCGGAGGCGCGGAGGAAGAGUAAGAGGCAAUGGAUGACGAGAUUCCUUAAGUUAUCCCUAAUAAAAUAUAAAAAAAUUGAGCUUUAUACUUUAACGAAUUUAAGGUACUAUUUUAUACACCUUUACUACCUGUUAUCUGCCAAAGUAACCCCUACCCAAACUCUAUAGUCCCUGGUCGUUCUUACCUGUAUAGGGGACACGCACAGAAGAACUUUCAGCUUUUAUAAAAUGACGAAGGUCUGGCAGUCCUGGGCUCUUGGGAUAUAUUCGAUUUCAACACAAAAGCUGUCAGUCUAAAAAAAAAUGAUGGAGCGAAACGACAUUAGGAUUCGGCAAAAGACAGCUUCGUUGAUGAUGCAUUAUUGAUUUUCAAGUAUCAUUCUAAAUCGUCCAAUUACCUCGACGACAUGAAUUUAUCAAACUUCUUCAAGUCGAUGUCCGAAAAAGUUAUACUGAAUUUAUCAGGGAAAUCUCUUGUGGCAAUGGAUAAUAAUGCUCCUUACUUCUGCACUCAAACUAUAACUCCAACUUUGAGCAGCUUAAAAGCAGACAUACAGGAGUUGUUACGAAAAAAUGGGUUUAUUUUACUAUUGGACAAAUGCAAUGCAAUGCUCCAGUAAAAUAUAGGGCCAUCAAUAUACACCGUAGAUGAAAUUUAUAAUGUCACUUUAAAAUUAAAAUCACAUCGUUCUUUGAUAGCUCAAACGGAUAUACAAUUAGUAAGGUUAACCACACGGAUCCUAUUCUUACGACGUGUUCGUACUUUAAAUUAGUUCAAAAAUCAGGAACGUGUUUAGUGAUAUACAAUAGCAAAAAAACUGUAUUUGGCGUGUUUUUGAAAUUUCCCCUAAAAAACCCCAAUUCUGCCCCUAACUCGGUCGAGAAACCCCUAAAUCUAGGGGGAAAUCCUCUGAUAUGGCAACACUUAAUCAAAGUAGCCUAGGGGUACGUCGCCGACUCCAUCUGGCAACACUGGUUCGGUGUUAUUACUUAAACUGUCUUAUAGUUUAUGCAGUCUUCCACCUUGCUUAUGAUUUCAAUACUAAAAUACAAAUUUUAAAUUUUUAAUAGAAAAGUCAUGGCUCGGCGAUAUUUGUUAUGGUUUGCGCAGGAGCAUUUGGACUUUCGGCAUGCGGAAAUGCAUAGCAUUAUUUCUAUGCUAAAUAUACCAAUAAAAUUUAUUGAAAAUCCAUCAAUUAAUCUCCCCUAUUGGAUAGUGGAACUCCCUUCCGAACUUUGUGCUAAGCAGAUAGCGUCAAGAUCUGUAUUAUUGAAAAAUUGUCUAGAAUUGUGGUCCAGGGCUAAGAGCGAAGCUAAGUUACACGAAAACUUAAAAAGUGCUGUAAAAAAUAAGUCUGGAAAAUGGAUAAUUCCAAAUAAUAAUAUGGAAAUAAGUGAAUCACAUAUUUGCCCAAGUGAACUUCUAGAUGCUGUUAGUGAUCCAAAUAAAUCCUUCAAAGUGGAAGUCGAAACAUUCUGCAAGCAUUUUACUAUGAAGCAGAAAGUUGAAAAGAUUGAGAAUUUCAGUUAUUUACCUUUAGGAGGUGCAGUAAACCUAAACAAACCAGAUGUAACAUUUUCUUAUAUUGAGUUUUAUGGAGUAGAUCCUAAUAAUGUUCCGCAACAACCGUGUGACUUAUUUUUUGGGAAAUGGAUAGCAGAUGGUCAAAGAGAUCUUAUAAAAGUCCACACUCUUAAAAAACGUGAAUUCAUUGGAAAUACAAGUAUGGAUGCUCAACUGGCAAUUAUAAUGGCGAAUCAGGCACAAAUAGCACCCGGUGAUGUGGUUUUAGAUCCAUUCGUAGGAUCUGGCUCUUUGUUGGUUUCAGCAGCACAUUUUGGUGGUUACAUAUGGGGAGCUGAUAUAGAUUUCAUGAUGUUACAUGCUCGAACCCGGCCCACUAGGGUAGGGCAAAAGGUACGAAACAAGGAGGAAAGUAUAAGGGGAAACCUGAGACAGUAUGGUAUCGGGUCUCAGUACUUAGAUGUGCUGGUCAGUGAUUUUUCACUACCGUUGUGGCGACAGGACAUAAAGUUUGAUGCCUUAAUAACUGAUCCUCCGUAUGGUGUCAGGGAGCCAGCAGAGAAGAUCGGUAUUGAGAGAGACAACUAUACUUUAUCUGAGCAACAUUUAGACAACCACAUACCAUCUAAAGUUGAAUAUGGCCUGCCGCACAUCUACAGUGACCUCUUGAACUUUGCCGCUCAACACUUGAAUAUUGGGAGAAGACUCGUUUGCUGGUAUCCUCUUAGACGAAUAUUUAGAAGAACAGCUCCCGUCCCAUCCUUGUAUGCAGUUGGUGGGCAAUAGUGAGCAAGUCCUGUCCAAGAUGACGGCCAGGCGACUGCUCACGUACCAGAAGAUCAGCGACGAUAUCCCCAACAUGCCCCACGACCCACACGGGGCUGCCCAUAACUUCAGGGACAAGUACUUUGCUGUAGGAGAAAUAUCGAGACGAGAAAAAAAAGAGAGACGAGCUGAGGAAAUAGCAAAAACUGCCUCCUACUUGGCAAAACGGGAAGAAUGUAACAAGGAAUAAAUUUUGUUACUGCUGUA